rnacentral:pre_miRNA from 1 species
AUAUGAAUCACCCGAGGACCUUGAUAAAAUGCAGAUUCUGAUUCAGUUGGUUUAGGGUACUGUCUGAAGUUUCUGCAUUUCUAAUAAGCUUCCAGGUGAUGCUGAU